ACGGGCUGAGUAACGCGUGGGAACAUACCUUUUGGUUCGGAACAACACAGGGAAACUUGUGCUAAUACCGGAUAAGCCCUUACGGGGAAAGAUUUAUCGCCGAAAGAUUGGCCCGCGUCUGAUUAGCUAGUUGGUGAGGUAACGGCUCACCAAGGCGACGAUCAGUAGCUGGUCUGAGAGGAUGAUCAGCCACAUUGGGACUGAGACACGGCCCAAACUCCUACGGGAGGCAGCAGUGGGGAAUAUUGGACAAUGGGCGCAAGCCUGAUCCAGCCAUGCCGCGUGAGUGAUGAAGGCCCUAGGGUUGUAAAGCUCUUUUGUGCGGGAAGAUAAUGACGGUACCGCAAGAAUAAGCCCCGGCUAACUUCGUGCCAGCAGCCGCGGUAAUACGAAGGGGGCUAGCGUUGCUCGGAAUCACUGGGCGUAAAGGGUGCGUAGGCGGGUCUUUAAGUCAGGGGUGAAAUCCUGGAGCUCAACUCCAGAACUGCCUUUGAUACUGAAGAUCUUGAGUUCGGGAGAGGUGAGUGGAACUGCGAGUGUAGAGGUGAAAUUCGUAGA
rnacentral:rRNA from 1 species